rnacentral:lncRNA from 1 species
AAUGUUGACGCAAUCUAUAAAUAGUGGAACAAAAGGACCAACUUCCUCGGAGCUUUGCUGAAACUGCACAAAAAAUCGAGCUGGGGGGUUCCCUGGUCCCCGAUGUUGGGGCGGAGAGCGCGGCGCCGAGGGAGGGGGCGGCGCAGACCGGCCUAGGGGACACCUGGUCGAGCGCAGCCGCCGCUCCGCUCGAGCCCUGCGCUCCAGUGCCCCCACUGGCUGGAGAGCUCGCCCAGACCGGGGGUCUUCCUCCGUCGCUGACAGAUUUUAACCAUUAGAAGAAUACCAGUUCUGGAAAACAACCAAAGUUUCUUUGAUUGAAUGCCCAUGUAAUGCAUUGGAAUAUGAUAGGCGAUUAAGGUUUAACAAUGUUAAAAUGAAGAUAUUACUAAAAUGGCCCUCUAAAUAGCCCAACAAUUAUUAUUUUCUUUGUCCUAUGGAUUUGGCUUUGAAAGAUGUGCUGCUCUUAAUAAGCUUUUCAUUCUGCCGGCCAUACUUUUUCUCCCUACUCUGGACGCCUCUAGAUGACUCCAGCUGUGCUCUCCUUCGUAAUCUACACACCCUCCUCAACCAUACCCUGGACCAGUCAUGUCCUCAUCUCAGACACGACUUUUCUGGUUUGCACCACAGUGUUUCAAUAGCAAGGCUGAUGACUUGAGUAUGAAAGCUGUGAAUCAGGAUGCCAGGCAGACAGAAUGGAUAACAUUCUAAUUAAAUGAUCAGCAUUAAUUCUCUCUCUCGGGCAGAAACCUACGUGUUCCUCUUCCAGAGAGCUGGUGAAGCCAAAGGCAUUCUCAUAAUGAUGCGCUACACCGACUGACAUUUACCAACUGUGUCAAAGCUACAGGAGCCAGGUAGACACUGCUGGAACUUUAACGGGAAUCAAACAAGUCUAUAAGAAGCACUGAGCUGUGCCACUACCCAAUCAGUGUUCUUCCAGAGCACACAAACGAAAGUGGGAGGAGCCUUCCAAUGAGAACUGUUGUGUGAUUAAUCAAUGAGGCUGACUAAAGCACACACUUAUAAUCCCAAUACUCAGAAAGACAGAGGAAGAAGGAUAUCAGCGCAAGGCCAACAAGGCUUCAAAGCAAGUACCAACCCAGUAUGGACCAUGAGACCCUAUUUCAGAAACAAAUAAUAAAAGCUUGAUGAAGCUGCAAAAAUUACUCAUUUUAUCAAUCCCUAUUCUUGUAUACUGAACUAUACACAAAGGCACUUGUGUGGCCAGUGGGUGCGGUCAGAAAGGAGUACAGGCUCACGUGACUCAGCUACAAGCUGAGACAGCUGCUGCUAUUAGGAAAACAAUGGAAGCCAGCAGUAUGUAGAUUUAGGGAGCUGACAAAUCCUGAAAAUGAAUAAAAUGAGCUGGGUACUUCCAGAAACACGAUACUUCUUGACCAUGAAAAGGAAAAAGGCUGGGUUUUUAUGUUAAAAUUUGAAUUUUUGCAAAAUGUACUUAUAAUCUUCCCAUUAAAGAUGCUGAUAAAUAGUAAAGUUAACAAAUGUGAGGGUUAUUGGGGAAUUAUAUAAUGAAAUAUGUCAAUGUUUGGAGGUCUCUGUAAUAAUGUUAUAAAUCAUAGAAGACUUGUUUAAAAUAUAAGAAAGGGUUGGAGUGUGGCUCAGUGGGAGAGCACUUGCCAAGACCCUGAGUUCAAUUCCCAAUACUGCAGAAAUAAAAAAUAAGUAUGAUCUCAAAAAAAAAAAAAAA